rnacentral:lncRNA from 1 species
UGUCUGUCCCCAGGAUCAACUCUCGUCUGCUGCAUGAAUCUGAGAUGAUCGGGCUUGGGAAGCUGUUGGGUCCAGAGGACAUAGCCUAUGAUACCAACUCACACCUAAUCUACACAGGCUGUGCUGAUGGCUGGAUUAAGAAAGUCACCUUGAACGACUCGGCUGUCAACUCGGUCGUUCAUGACUGGGCCUUCACCGGUGGAAGACCUCUCGGCGUCGUUCUCGGUCGCGCCGGUGAGGUUCUCGUUGCCGACGCCGACAAGGUAGGAAAUUGGUUUUCUCUGUCACACUUUUCUUUUCCUCUAAGAUUCGAUCUUUUAGGAAUAAUAUUAAGUUAUAUCCCAAAUGGCAACCAGCGGUCGGAUCGCCCGCAUCCCAACCUGCCCGUUUACGUUUAAAAAAUUAAAUGGGCGCGGUAUGGGAAAUUCCCAUACCCUGGCCCGUUUAACUUUUUUUUUUUAAAUUACAUUAAAAUAAAUAUAUUUUAUAAAUAAUAAAAUUAUUAUAUUUUUUAUAACUUAUUUUAUUAAAUUUUUUUAUUAUUAUCUAUAUAUUAAAAAUAGUAAAAUAAAAUUUUAAAUUAAAUUAAUUUUAAAUUUUAAAUUAAAUUUAAUUUUAAAAUUAAUUUUAUAUAUAAUCGGGGCGUGGGUUUAAAAAAAAAUCUUAUACUCAUUCCAAACCCGUUUAUUAAACUUAAACCCCAUCCCAUUAGGGGCGGGGUGAGGCGGGUACCCGAAAAAAUCGAUCGCAUUGCCAUCCUUAUAUCCCACACGCAUCGGGUCAAAACUUUUCUUAAAAAAAAAAAAUUCUAUUUUUUUCUUCAUAAAAUCACUCAAUUAUUUAUUUCUUUCUUUUAUUAUUAUCAACUCCACUAAUGGAAAAUAAAAUAAAAAUAGAAAAUAAAUUAUUUUUUAUCAAAUUUAUUAUUGACGAGAACAAAAAUUAUCAUCAUCAUCUUCACAGACAUGUCUAUUUCACCAAGCCUCUCUCUGAGGCAGUGCCCAGAUCGUUACGCCUUUCGUGCGGGUCAGAACUUACCCAACAAGUAAUUUCGCUACCUUAGGACCGUUAUAGUUACGACCGCCGUUCAUCAGGGCUUUGGUCGCCGACUCCCUUGUCACUAGAUUAGCAACUUUCUUGACCUUUCGGCACUUUAGGUAGGCGACAGCACUCAUAUAUGGUCUUACGACUUUGUGGAGACCUAUGUUUUUUAUAAACAAUCGUCCGGGCUUAGUCACUGCGACCCCCUUUGAGAGAAGGCACCCCUUCUCCCAAAGUUACAAGGCUAUUUUGUCAAGUUCCUUAGAAAGAGUUAUCUCAUGCCCCUAGAUAUUCUCUACCUACCCACCUGAGUCGGUUUCGGGCAUAGGUACCUUUUUGUUGAAGAUUAUUCGAGCUUUUCUUGGGAGUAUGACAUGGGUUACUUCAGCACCUGGUACUCGAACAUUGACUCGAGGCAUUUUCCCUACCCCUUCUUACCCUUGAAAAAGAAGGGUUACCUUGUGUCCUUGAACCUAUAACCAUCUCUUGGCUAACCUAGCCUCCUCCGUCCCUCGAGACGGACAAGGGUAGGAGCAUUAAGAAAUUAACUUAAAAUUCAUAUAUUAAAAAAUAUUUUAGUACACGUCCCAUUUGAUGAUGCAAUCUCAACCUUACAAUAAAUGAUAUUUGCUUGAAAUUUAUUUUUAAAAUGAUCAUAUGUGGCAGGGUCUACUGGAGAUAAGUGAAGAUGGUGUGGUUAAACUGUUGACAAAUGAGGCUGAGGGCAUAAGAUUCAAACUAACGGACGCUGUGGAUGUAGCUGUUGAUGGUAUGAUUUAUUUUACAGAUGCUUCCUAUAAAUACAGUUUCAAAGAUUUCAUAUGGGACAUGUUGGAGCUUAGGCCCCAUGGUAGACUACUGAGCUUUGACCCAUCAACGCAAGAGACAAAAGUGCUGGUUCGUGAUCUCUACUUUGCCAAUGGUGUUGUCGUCUCACCUGAUCAGACGUUCCUGAUCUUUUGCGAAUCCUUCAUGUAUGUUUCUCACCCACGUGCUUAAAUUUCGAAAAAUAUCGUGACAUGGAAAUUCAUAAAAAUAAUGUUUGGCUCCCAAAAAGUAUAGGAAAGAAAAAAAAAAUGUUAAGAAAAUCCUAUAAAAUAUUCCAAAGAAAAUUAAAUAUAAUUAAAAUUAAUUAGAAUUUUAUGUAUUUUAAAAUUAUUUAAUCUUUAUAUUGAUGAGUUAAAAUAAAGAAAAUGAGUUUGAAGUCGCAAAUAAAAAUAAUUAAUCAUUUUUAAUUUUAUAUUUUAUUUUCUUUUACUUUUUCUCUCUAUUUUCUUUUAUUUGCAUUUUCCAUCAAAUUUUCCGAUAACCAAACAUAACUAGAUCCAUAAAGAAAAUAAUAAAAAUAUAAUUUAAGAAUUUGAAAACAUAUUUAAUAUAAAAUUAUAAUUUAUCUAAUUUAAAUAUAUUAUUUUUUAAUGAUACAAUUGUAGGAAAAGGUGUUCGAAAUACUAUUUACAAGGUGAGCGAAAGGGAUCUAUGGACAAAUUCAUUGAUAAUUUGCCUGGUAUGCCCGACAACAUCUUAUAUGAUGGGGAAGGCCAUUAUUGGAUUGGAUUAGCCACGGUAACUCAAUUUUCCUUUUUCUUUGAGCAAUGAUCCUAUUCAUCCACAUUAAUUAUUAGAUCGUUCCUAUUAUAUGAUGCUAUUAAUAGUAAUGCUUCAUAAUGAUACCUUCAAAAUGUUUGAGUGAUGCACAGGGAUACAAUGAUCUUUGGGACUUGGCAUUCAAAUAUCCUUCAAUUCGAAAGGUUAUGGCAAUCAUGGAGAAGUUCAUCGGGAUGCCAGAAAUCGAGAAAAAUGGUGGGGUUUUGGCAAUUGAUUUGGAAGGAAAACCGAUUGCUCACUAUUAUGAUCCUAAAUUGUCAUUAGUGUCAAGUGGGAUCAAGAUUGACAAGUAUUUAUAUUGUGGUUUUAUUGUUAAACCCUACAUGAUUCGCCUUGAUCUUGAUCAACAUGCUGCUCGCACCACCUUGUAAACUUGUGGGAUGUAUUAGUUUUUGGAACAGUGUAGAAUGGAUCUUCAAUGCAUAUAUGUGCCUAAAAACUCCAAAUUACAUGAAGGUGAGAUGUAGUUCAUAGAAGAUACCGUCUUAUGUGUUGGUCAUAAUGGGGAAAGAUCGUGGAAUGACCCUACUUUGCCCUCAUAAUCUUGAAGAUAAAUAUGUUGUUGAAUAGAAUCGACUGUACGUGAUUAAUGUCAUGAGCUUGAUCGAAGUAAUAUUUGUUCUAUAAGUUUAAGCAAUGGCAUAGUGUCAAAGGAAUUCAAUCAAAACUUAACUCUUAUAAUAGAUGGUGUAGUCAAAUUGAUCUCUAAUCAUUUCUAAAAGAGAAGCACGUUUAUUUCCAAAACUUCACUGCUAUUUAAUAAUUACACAAUAUAUUUUUGCUACAACUUCAAUAAUGACAUUUAAAAGCAGCAGACUUCAGACUUAGACUUAGUUUGGGAACUGUUUUCAAGAACAAUUUUCUAUUUUAUAAAACAAAAAAAUUGGAAAACACGUUUGACAACCAAAAGUUAUUUUCUAUUUUUUGUUAUAAGUUUUUAUAGAAUAUUUUUUUAGUCGUUUUCACUUAUUUUUUGAAAACUAUUUUAAAAAAUAAUUAUACAAAUAUAUUUAAUGAUUAAAAAUAAAGUUGUAAACAUAAAAAUUAUUUUUAAAAUAUCUUUAAAAAUAUUAAAAACAAUAUAUUUCUACUACAACUUCAAUAGUGACAUUUAAAUGCAACAGGCUUGAGACUUAGGUCUUGUUUGGAAACUAUUUUUAAAAACAAUUUUUUGUUUUUCAGAACAAAAAAAUUAGAAAAUAUGUUUGGUAACUAGAAACUGUUUUCUAUUUUCUGUUUUUAGAAAAUAGAAACAUGGUGUUUUCAGAUAACAUCUUUUAGUUGUUUUCAAUUGUUUUUUUUAGAGUUAUUUUAAAAAAUAAUUAUAAAAACAUAUAUAAUGAUUAAAAAUAAAGUUAUAGACAUAAAAAUUAUUUUUAAAAUAUAUUUAAAAAUAUUAAAAACAGAUUAAAAUUAUUUUAGGUUCUUAAAUAGAUAUUUAUUCUACAAAACAUCAUAGGAAAGUUUUUAAAAACCAUUCUUAAAAACUAUUUUUCAUAACUGUUUUUAAAAAUAGUUAUCAAACAAGCUCUUAACUUUUUUGUUUUUCUAAAAAGGGUUCAUGACCAACAAGAAAAGGCAAAGAUGUCAAACACCACUCCACCCUCUCAAAAUAUGUUCCUUUCGUUUUUUCUUUUGCCUUUUUUGUCUCCCUCUUCGUGAUUAAAUUUCUAACGUAUUUAAAUGAGAAUCUUAUAUGAUACCCAAGACCUUUGGCAUAUUGUUGGAUACAGUAGAGAAUGGUCAUUAAGAACUAGAGAAUGAGGAAAACUCUCUUGCGAACAAAGUUACUACACCAAAAGAAAAUCCAAAUAGAAAUUAAGGUUACCUUCUGUUUCCAAAAAGUAUUAAGGGAAGAAAAAAAAAAUUAUUAAAACUAUAUUUAGUUCUCAAAAAAUUUGAAAGAAAAUAUAAGGAAAAGAAAAUAAAAAGAAAAAGUGGAAGGAAAUAAAAAGUAGAUUUAAAGUCAAUAAAUUAUUUUUAUAUGCUUCUUCAAUCUUAUAUUACUUAUUUUCCAACAUUAUAUAAAGAAUAAAUAAUUUUAAAAUAUAUCAAUUCCUAAUUAAUUUUAAUUAUAUUUAUUUUUCUUCCAUAUUUUCUAUGGUGAAACCAAAUGUGAGAAAACCAUUUUUUAAAAUACUUUCCAAAAACCAAACAUAACUUAAAGAAAAUGGUUUUUUCAUGUUUGAUUUCAUCCUAAAAAUAUAAAAGAAAAUCAAAUACCAGUAAAUUCGUCAAAAUUUUAUGUAGUUUUAAAUUAUUUAAUCUUUAUGCUAAUAAAAUGAAAUAAGUGAAAUAAGUUUGAAGAAGCAUAUAAAAAUAAUUUAUUAAAUUUAAAUUUAAAUUUUAUUUUCUUCAUUUUUUGUUUCUUUAUAAUUUUUAUUUCUAUUUUCUUUUCCUCACAUUUUCUCUCAAAUUUUAUAGGAACCCAACAUAGCCUAAGGUAUUGUUUAAUUUCAAUGCCUUGAGAGAACUUCUUGAAGAGUUUCCUUAUUUGUGUUGUUGCCACCAAUAUUUUAAAAAUCAACCUGAUCAUUAAACCAAAAAAGUCAUCAGUUUACGAUUCAAUGGUUAAACCAAUAGUUGAACUGCGGUCAAACUAGUGAUAUUAUAAAUAUAUAAUUUACAUAUUAUUAAAAUUAAAAAUAAUUAUAAAAUUAAAAAUAUAUAAAUAAAUUAAAAAUCAAUAAUAUUUAUUUUUUUAUCUCUAGUAUUAUCAAAUUAAAUCUUGCAUAAUAUGACUGUACUAAUACUUUUUAAAUUUUAUUAAAUGAAAUAUAUAAAAUAUUUAAAUAUGAAUAUAUUGAAAAUGAAAGAAAAUCCAAUUAUUUAAUUUUAACUAUUUUUAUAAUUUAAAAAAAAUAUUAUAUUAUAUUUAUUUAAUAUUAUAAUUUUUUUUUAAAUAAUUUUUUUUUUUUUUGCAUUUGCCAUACUAAGUAUGAAAAAAAUGUGUAGCGGGGUGGUACCCAUGCCACUGAGUGCCAAUAUGGGUUAAGAUUUUGAAUUGGGCCUCAGUAUGAGGUAGGCUUUGGAAUUGGGCCUUGCUUUGAAUGAAAAAAAAUAAAGGAGCAUUAGACUGUGUUCGGUUCUUGAAGAACUUCCUGGUCACUUGGUUUACCGGUUGGACGAACCCGGUUGGUUCGACUUUGAAAACAGUGGUUACCGCGAAAGAGAUGAUGAAGCAAGUCAGAGAAAUCAAUUUGGAUUUUAGAGGCAUAGAUCAUGUGGGUAGCAAACGAAUUUUUUAGAAAUAGUAGUUGAUCAGCUGCCAUAUAUAGGCAUAAGGGAUCCGUGCACAAUUUUAUCAAUAAUUUGCCCGACAUGCCCGACAACAUCUUAUAUAUAUAUAUAUAUAUAUGAUGGAGAAAGACAUUAUUGGAUUGAAUUGUCCAGGGCAAUUCAAUUCUCUCGUUUUUCUUUGAGCAAUAAUUUUAUAUUCUUUGUUGAAUCUAAUAUACAAUAAUUAAAUACUUCAUCUACAUCAAUCAUUAAGUUGUUCUUACUAUAUAAUGUUGUUAAUACUAAUGCUUAAGUAUAAUACUUUCAAAAUGAUUGGUUGACUUGGCAGGAAACCAAUGGUUUUGGGAAUUGGCACUCGAAUAUCCUUCAAUUCAAAAGGUUAUAGCAAUCUUGGAGAGACACAUUGGGAGGCCACAAAUCGAGAAAAAUGGUGGGGUUUUGAUUGUUAAUUUGGAAGGAAAACCAAUUGCCCACUAUUAUGAUCCUAAAUUUUCAUGAUAUCAAGUGGGAUUAAGAUUGGAAAGUAUUUAUAUUAUGGUUUUGUUAUCAUACUCUAUAUUACCCGUCUUGAUCUUGAUUAACAUUUAUAGAUCUCCCAUCUUAUCCCAUAACAUAUAUUUUCUCAUUUUUAUUUUUCUUCUCAUCCUAUUCUCACUUUUAGUGCCUGUUUAGGAUCAUUUUUUUUUUGUUGUUCAUUUUCUCUCUUAUUGGUCUACCUUUGCUCGACUCUAUUGAUUUUUGAGCCACANNNNNNNNNNNNNNNNNNNNNNNNNNNNNNNNNNNNNNNNNNNNNNNNNNNNNNNNNNNNNNNNNNNNNNNNNNNNNNNNNNNNNNNNNNNNNNNNNNNNUCUUUUCUUUAGGUCAGCUAUUAAGAGAGAAUAGGUAAGGGUGAGCUGCAAGGUUAGGUUUUUUUUUAAAGAAAUGAUAUUCUUUGCAAGGGUAGUUAGGAGAGAGAGAUGAUGAACACAUUUUAGAAUCUGUAGGAGACGCGUUUCAGACGGGGGAGACUCUUUCUAUUGCUUUGUGGUUGUUAGAGAGAAAAGAAAAAAUAAAAGUCUUAUAGAGGAAGAAAAAAGGAACAAGGGGAAAGAAAGAAACAGAGGAGAACUAGCUGGUUCUCUAGGUUUGUGAAGAAAGCAAGGAAGACUAGAGGUCCAACAAAUCUUGUUGGAGGGGAACACUUUUAGCUAGAUGCUAAGGUACACUCCUAUCUCUAUCUUGUUUAUUUAUUUAUUCUUUAUUAUCUGUAAACCCUCAAUUUUGUCCCUUUAAGUUCAUUUUCAGUGCUUCAUAGUACUUCCUUGGUGGUCCAUAACUACUCAUACAACUUACCUUUUUUAAGCCACCUCAAAGAUUUUGGUUGAGGGAUUUUCUGAACCCUUUUUUGUGACCCUUGACAACCCUAUUUUAGAUUAGGCUUUUCCUUCUUUUUUUAGAAGAGCACACUUAGACAUGUUUAGGUCACCUACACGAUAUCCUGAUCACUUUAGGUUACGUAGGCACCACCCUAGCCCUCUUAGACACACUUGGCCUAUUAAACGUUUUUUACAUGACUCACAUAGUCGCAUGACUUGCAUGGUCCGCAUAGGAUUAACUAUUUUAUUUCAUUUUAUUUAAUUAUUUUGUUUUACUUUAUUCAUUCAUUUUAUUUUACUUUAUUCUUUUAUAUAUUGCAACAUUGCUAACUCUUUUUCGGUUUUAUUCUUUUUAUUUUCGUUUUUUUAUUGUUUGACAAGAGAAUGAGAGUUGUUGUUCAACUCUCACAAAGGCAUGUACAUUCAAAGAAGGUAAGAAAAAUAUUUUUGGAGGAAAACGAGGAUUAACAUGGCUGCAUACAUAUGGAAAGAGAAUAUCCUACAUAGAAAGAGAGAAACAUUCUGAUUUUCGGAAAGGAAGGGAAAUAAAAGAAAGGAAAGUAGAUUUAAAAAGGAAGAAAAGAACAAAAACGAAAGGGGGAUUUUCCUUUUUGUUUUGGAACAGAUUUGUUGAAAAAAAUAGGCUUUCCCACAAGUGUAAAUCAAUGGAAGCAAUAUAAAUAGAAUAACAGAAAAUAAAUGAGCACACAAGAUUUACGUGGUUCCCUCAAAUAACUUGAGGUACGUCCACGACGACCGGUAGGUCAGUUUCUUCCACUAUCACCAAAAGAGUUUACAAAGUGGCCAAAAGGCAUAAGCCUUACAAACAUACCAAGGUGUAAAUCACAAGAGGAAAAUACCUCACAAAAGUAAACCAAAUCUCCAAGAACAAACCGCAAGAAACCCCAAAUAUCAAGUGAAGAAACGUUACCCACUUGAAGUACAAACUUGCCGAUUGUGUAGCACCAAAAAUGGAGAAGAAGAAGGCUGAUUUUUGUUUUGAACCAAAAAGGUAUCCCAAGAGUCUUCUUGCCGACCAAGAUGAUGAACCAAAGGAAAAGACAAAAGACUUGUAGUUUUUUUCUUUCCUUGAAGACUUCAAACCAAUCUUGAAUAUGCCAAGAGUCAUGUGCCAACCAAGGUGUUGGCCAAAAUAGCAAAACCAUAUUUAGUAAAUUUAAGAGUCCCACAAAGGAGGGAAACCCAACAAGAUUUGGGUCUUUGGGGGCUGAUAUACAUAUGUGCAAAAGGAUGUUGAAGUGAAUUUUUUUUUUUUCGGGAGAUAGUCUUGAGGAAAAGCACAGAGAAGCGGGAAAUGAGCAAGAGUAGCCAAGUUCAUCCAGGUAUGUUUCUUGUUACUCUUGAAAUUCUUACCCAUAUUCGAUUUCUCCGUAUAUUUGUUUUUAGAAUAUUUAAUAUAUUGUUCGUUGGUGUGGACGUUAAGGGCCACAAGUUGUUCUGCUGAGCUUGGUUGUUUACUUCUUUAUUCAAUUUUUAUUUUGAUUAUUUUACGUGUCAUGAAUGUCUUCGGAAAUAUACAACUCCAUGCUUGAAUGUGAUCCUGCUCUUUUUUUUGUUUGAAUCUUAUCUUGUAUUGUUCCCUCUGUUAUGUUCUUAGCCCAUGGAUUAAUACUUGAAGUGGAGACUAUUUUUGUUUACUUAUCAACAUCUUCUGUUCUUUCCUCCUCUGAGUUUUACUUCGUUUUUAUUUCAUUUUAUUUCUCUUCCAUCCAUUUUCCUGUAUGCUGCCCAAAUCCUUCUCAUUACCUUUGGGUGUACAUUGAGGAAUGACGGAAGUGUUAAUACGAGAUGGAGUAUGCAACAAUCUCACUCAAAUAUUGGAUAGUUGAUUCCGAGGUUCUUCUAGUGAACUACAGAAAUCUGGAAUACGCAUCAUUGAAAUUCGGAUCUAUCCCACACUACCAACCUCGGGAAACAGGGGAGAAAUUCUGGGAGUUUGAUUUUCGAUUCUGUUAGAAAAAUGGAGUUCACGCUACAACUGAUGAUUCCCAUGGAAACAACCUUGUUGCCAUUCUCUGUUGAUCUUAUCAUCAUAUGGAGAGGGAUCACCGACCUUGAGGAGAGAUUUGGGUUUCUCUGGAAUUGGAAAACUGAAGAAGUUCUGGAUUCAUCUUAUUAGAAGAUUAUUACCACGCGCGGUUCCUGGAGGGGUGAUCCAAAGAGAGGAUUGGUUAGAGGGAACUGUGGAUAACCGGAAAGUAGAAGAAACUGAAGGGAUCAUAGCUGAAUGGAGGAUGGAAACUCGCACUUUCCCUUUGAAGCCAUUGAAGGCGAGGGAAAAGCCUUUGAAUAUUCACAUCUCUGUCAUCUGAUCAAUGAUUCUCUUCCUCUUUACAUCGAAUCAGAGCUAAUUUCAGUGACCAAACAAAAAAUCUUUUGGUUGCUCUUUCCCAGGAUUCAAGAAAAAUUCAAUUCUGGAUAUAUGAGCUUGAUUCCGAUUCCCGUGACGACAUAGCGGCCUAACCUACUUAUAUUGAGAAAUCAGAAAAUUAUGAAGAGCAUUGUUGUUUGACUAGAAUCAUAGCCAACUUGCUGAAAGUCAAUAUGUUCAAUAUUUGGCGAGCAAGGUUCUUGUGGUCAUUUAUGAGUUUGUGGUGGUUUCUGGAAGUAAUUGGGAGGGAUUUGUGCAUUUUUUGCGUGUUUGCUUUGAUGUAGCAAUUGGAAACUUUCUUUCAUCGUCUUUAACACUCCAAACUGAUGGGGACGAAAUUUUUACUGAGAAGUCAAGUUUUGUUGUUUUUUGUAAAAUCCAGACUGAAAAAUGCAAAUUGGUUUGCAGUGGCUGGUAUUAUUCGAGUUUUGAGUAAUAUAUUGAAAUACUUGAAGCAAGAAUAUGAUGAUCAACUUGGGAAAAUACUUGGAUUCUAUCAAUUCUUGUUUGUCAAAUGUGCCUUGGGAUUCAUUGAAUGAUGUUUGUGUUGGUCAGAAUGGUGACACUUAGAGACGCUCAAACACUUUUAGUCUGAGGAAUGUUCAGCUACUAGAGUCAAAGGUUGUAUUUCUAAGAAAUCUUGUUCAGUUCUUCUGUUUAUUGGUUGAGCAAAAUGGUUCUUUGGGAAUCCCAAGUGUUUCUCUAGGUAAGUAUCCUGUUCUUUAUAACAUCAGCAACCUUGUUCCUAAGUUUCUAUAUUGGUGCCUUGGCAAGCAAUGGAAUUGUAACAGCUUGUGCAUCUCUGUACUUUAAACACAAGUUGUUGAUGCUAAUGUUUAGGCUCAGUUUCUAUAUCCGUCUACAAUAUUCAAUUCUUGCUUCUUUGCUGCAAGUUCUCCAUGAACACUUUCAAGAUCUUUUGCUCCAACCAAUACGUCAAGUCAAGCCUGAUGAGAGUGGUUGUCUUGAAGGCUCUCCAUUUUUUAUUCAGUAUUCUUGAUGGAAAAGUAUAUAACAUGUCUUUAUACCAUUUACAGAGACAGACUGUUUUCCUUUUCCUAAGGUGUUCCUUCAGUUUGAUCAGUCUGAGGGAAGAAAUAAGAGAGCAAUGUGCAUAUGCAGCUACCAAUUCAUGCGUGACAUUUGACCUAAAUUCAAAUUUGGAAUGUUGUAGUCAAAAGAAAGGUCUAUCAGAGCUUUAUGAGCGGCUUCAAGGACAUAUUCCUAAGUGUUUAGUUGUGAACCUUAAAAUGUAUUAGACAGUUAUUUCUUAGAUAUGCUGAAGCUCUGUUUUCUUUGCUCCAACUUCUUUGUCAGUAUCAUGUGACACGCUUGGUUCAGGGUUUUGAUGUUAAUCUACGACAAUAAUUAGUUCAAUUAACACUCCACCAAUCUGUUUGUUCCGAGGAAGGUGAUCGGCUUGCUACUAGGUUAAUAUCUUCCCUAAUGGAGUAUUACACUGGUCCUAAUGAUAAGGUAACAGUUGAUGAUAUUAGCGCACGAUUGCGAGAAGGUCGGCUAGGCUAUUACAAGGGGACUGAUCACAAACUUUACUUAGCUGUGGAGUUUCUUGAGAGAGCUACUGUAACUUCUGACACCGAAGAGAAGGAAAACCUUGCUAGAGAGGCCUUCAAUCUCUUGAAUAAAGUUCCAGAACCUGCAGAUUUGUGAGCAGUUUGCAAAAGGUUUGAAGACUGGAGAUUUCAUGAAGUUGUGGUUCGUUUACCACUACAAAAAGGCACAAGCCCCUUGUCCCUGAAGGUGAUGCUUCCAAUGAGCGACUUGAUGCAGAAAUUUGAGAACAUGCACUUGCUUAGCUUGAACAAUGUUAUGAGAUUAUCACCAAUGUUUUGUGUUCUCUAAAAAAGGCGAGGCUUUUCUAGAAGGAACUCGGAUCUCCCGUGAGUCCCGCUGCCUGAUCCACCCUUGAUUAGGCUUCUCGAGACAUAUACAUACGCCAAACUGUCCAACUUAGUGUUAAAUCAUCUGACACAGUCUUUCAGAUACUGUUUCAGUACAGAUCCAAAAUAUGUUAGGCCCCUUGCAAUUCUUGCCCUUGAUGAUCUCUUCCAGCAUGAAGGACUUGCUAGACCUAGUGAUUCUGUAUCAGCAUAUCACGACAGCAAACACUUGGCAUCUGAUGUUCUGCUUCUUCUCUUAUCAAGGUUGCCUGCAUCUUUCGUCCCAAUGGUUCUCUCUUAUGAACUUGUCCAGUGUUUAACGGACAUGCUUCCUACCAAAGACAUUUGGCUGCAUAAAGUUGCACAAUAUUUUCUUAAAGACCUAUCAGAUUGGGUCAGAUAUGAUGAUGUUAGAAAAGUAUAUGUCAUCAUGGCUCUACAGAAGCAUAACAGUGGGCGAUUUGAUUGCAUUACAUGGAUAAAAACUGUUAAAGAUUUGAUGGCAGAGUUCAAAACAGAAUCUGGAUGCAUGCCAUUUAAUCAGAACUUAAUUAGCAUGUUUGUGGAUGAGGCUCAUGCUUCGGAGAAACCUUCUGAUCAGAGUUAGACCAUAAAUGACAAUCCUUUAACAACAUUUUCCAUAUUUUGAGAAGAUGUUUCCAUUGUAAUCAGAUUGGUGGGGGAUCUUAAAAGAUUAGAUGAAUUCCCAGGAGUGAAGGACACCAAAUUUGGAAUCCGAAUGCUAAAGUUAUCAUGCUUUGUAAACAGUUACAGAUUGUUCAUCAUGUAAUAAUGACUGGUGCGCCAAUUCAGAACAAGCUGGCUGAGCUGUGGUCUUUGUUCGAUUUUGUCUUCCUUGGGAAGUUGGGAGUGUUGCCUGUGUUUGAAGCAGAAGUUGCAGUUCCCAUAUCUGUUGCUGGCUAUGCCAAUGCCUCUCCAUUACAAGUAUCCACUGCUUAUAGGUGUGCAGUAGUCCUACGUGACUUGAUUAUGUCAUAUCUCCUUCGAUGUACGACAGUUGAUGUGAAUGCUCAGCUUCCAAACAAUACUGAACAUGUCCUCUUUUGCAGCCUUACCGCAGAGCAGUAUUCUAUAUAUCGAGCACUUCUCUCGAGUCUGGAGGUGGAAUAGAUCUUUGAUGGUAGUAGAAGUUCUCUUUAUGACAUUAAUGUGAUAUAUAAAAUAUGCAAUCACUUUGAUCUACUUGAGCAAGAGUGCAUGCUUACCAGAAUCCAGAUUAUGGGAAUCCUGAACACAGUAGAAAAAAAAAAACGAAAAUUGUCGCUCAUGUGCUUAAGGGGUGGAAAGAACAGGGUCACCGCGUUGUUCGUUUUACACAAACUCAACAAAUACUUGAUAUUCUUGAGAAUUGCCUGAUCGCUAGCUGCUGAUCGUCUAAGAAGCCUUAAGAAAACAAAAGCUCAACUUGAAAUAGAGCUUUCAAAUUUGCAAAAAGAAAAGCCUUCCAAGAUUGUUGAGCAUGACUAGGUGAUACCAAAUUUGGUUAAGGAGGAGGCAAGACCUAAGAAAAUGUUAAAUGAAAUUCUGAAAUUGGGCAAAGAAUUAAAGAAGCGAAAGAAAACAAUUCCAUUUGAUGAUGAUGUUGAUUUUGAUACAGUCCUGGAUACAACUUCUGCAGGAUUUGUCAAAACAAAAAGAGACAAGUUGGUUAGAAAUGGGAUUUUAACUCAUUUCCAUAAGCUCAAAGGCUUUGAACGUCAUCUUCAACAACCAGGUCCAUCAAGUAGAGACAAUUUACCUGAGGAUAAAGAGAGUAGCAUUCGCAUCAGAACUGAACCUAUUGUGAGGCAGAUCUUAGGAUUCUCUUGGCCAUCAGCUGAUGAACUUUCUAAUUGAUACAAGUGCUGAAGUUUCUAUUGGUCAGAUCAUUGACCUCAAAAGAACAGCAAAAAUGCUCUUGAAUUCAGUCAAAAACAUAUUGAAAUCGUUGUAUCGCUGGAGGAUUAUGCUGCCAUGAAUCCAACCAAGCGUUUCACCUUUGUCUCCCAUAGUGCUAGAAGGUACUCUGCCAAAAAGGUUCUGGAACCCUCAAAUAUUUAAAUUGGAGGAUUCUAAUGCUUUACUAGCACUCACCCUAUGACGAAUACUCAGUUUAUGAUGAAAAAGUGGAGUUUCUGGCAUCCACCUAUGCACCGAAUGCAGAAUCAAUAUUUGCUCCUCUCAUAGGAACAAACAAUUUUCACAACAAACCAAGUGUUCAAGAUGAUGCAGGCUGCAAGAAUUUCUCGAAAGAAUUGCAAAUGGCCAGACUAGAUGAUGAAGCCGUUCUCCAAAAACUGAGGCAAAUGCCAUUGGAAGUGGGAAAAUUGAAACAGAAUUUAUAAUGCUCUUCUUCCCUCAUGUUCAAAGGCUGGUCUGAACAAUACUGGAGUCGCCUACGCAGCCAUGCUAGACACUAGAAGCUUUAUGCUUGCAGACCGCAAUUCCACCACAUUCUUCACAGGUUUCAUCCAUAUUCCAGAAAUUCCAAAAAGGAAAAGAAAAAUCGAUGGUGAUUGGAUGCAUAAAUUAGCAAUCCGGGCUAACCAAUUUUAGUGGCAGCUUGUGUUCGCUCUACAGAAGCAAGGAGAAGGGUUUUCAUGGAGAUCAGUAAUAUACUUAACGACUUUAAUGAUUUAUCUAAUGAUUUUAGGCCACUCGACAAUGAUAUCCAAGCUUUUAUUGAUUUGCUCAAUGAUGAAUUGGCUGCUCGAUCACCUACAGCCGAUCAUGUUGAGUCUUUUAAUACCACUCAAACCUUUGGCGGGUUUGAGGCUGCUACUGAUGAUAUGGAACAAGACCUGCAGUCACCGAAUCUCUGCAAAGAACAGAUGUAUCAUGUACGCAUUCUCAAUUUUUUGAAAUGCAGAUUGAACGCAAAUGGCAGCCUGUCAAACUGUCCUAGAAGUGUGUCGAUGGAUUUGGGUGGGAGAUGGAUUCGCAACUGCUGAUGAGGUUGUCCUUGAUGAUCCCCACCAUUUAGCUCCUAUAUACGUGUCAUACCAGUUGAUUUAGCAGUUUUCAAGGAAUUAUUUUUUGAAACUCGGAAUUCAGGAGCUCUUGAAACCUGAUGACAUGUUAGCAUUUUAGGUGCAACAUCUGGCUGAAGUUCAGUUUCAUGAACAUAAAUCUAAGAUCUACUUACCUGAUGUGUCAGGAAGACCACUUCUUGUCAAUAAGUUAGUUUAUGAUGAUGCUCCCUAGCUGUUUGGUUCCUAAAGGUGAAUAUCUGCCUGCAAAAGAGGUGAAGCAGCCCCUAAUGCUGCUGAUUCUGAUACAGCAAGAAACUUCUCAUGAAGUCACUCUUAUGACACUACUGAUGAGGAACUCACGUCAAUUGUAAUGGAAAACUAUCAACAUUCAGAGCCUCAACACGGUCUUGAAAGCUUUUCUACCAGAGAAACAAUUUCUCUUAACUUCUUAGAAAAGGCUACGUCAGGCUAUGAAUUCCAUCGACCAGAGAGAUAACCUGGGACCUUACAAAUGUCAAAUUAAGUUACGCUUUGCAAAACGGACUAAGGGUAGAACUUCAUCAGCAUAACCAGAUUUCGUGAGAGAUGAAGUAGAUAUUGGUCCGAGAGGGUAUGAACAAAGCAGUAGAAAUGAAGUCACUAUUAUUUCCAGGCAGAGCAUCAGGAGAGGAAAGAAUAAUAUGAAAGGUUCCUAUCCAACGGGCAUUCUCAAGGUUCCCAGCUUUCUCAUGGGCUAUCACAUCUUAACAAUACGUGUACUUCCAGCCAAAAUUAUUCAGAGUGUUACUACAUUUUCACAGAGACAGAUGCAUGACGUGGAAUGUCUCGCAACAAAGCUCACGAGAGGGUUGAAAUCCACGCACAGGACACAAAAUCAAAACAACAACUCCAUAGCUGCUUGGGCAGCAAACAGAACAAAACGCGAGUCACCUUCGAGCUAUAUAUCCAUGACACAAUUACCCUGCCCAAAUAAUGCAAAGAUAGCUAUCGAAAUUGUGAAUCUCCCUAUCUAUCCAGUCUUUGAUGUGAUGCAGGCAAUGGGGUCCAUUAAGAGUCAAUUUGCGUUGAUGAUUAUGAGAAAGAAGCUUUCCUUUGUGACAUGCCAUGGACAUUAUUAGCGAACGCUGCACUUGUGUCUACAUUCUGGAGGAUUUUUAGAAGCACUCUUAUCCAAGGUGAUUCAAUUGUGUCGACUCUCAGUCAGGCUCAAGAAGUUGUGAAUUAAAAAGUUUAGGAUUCGGUCCAGAUUUCUUUUUUGAAGGGUAGUUUGUCGUUGUAGUUGAAAUGAAAAACAUCAAGAGCGCAAAAAGAGAGUUCAAAAUUGUUCAAAUCAGGGUUUAAGCGGACUGAAUUGACAUUUGGCUUGAAUAUUAAAGAAAGAUAAAUGAAUCUCCAGAUUUGUGGCUGAGAUGGCUAAAAGACUUGAAGCAAUGGAAGGCAAAGUAACAGAGUUUCGAAUUAACGCAUGCCUCAGGUUCCAUGAAAAGGGGUGUAGGUUCCCUCAGCUAGACCUAGAAGCAUUAUUCCAGGUUCGGCAGAGUCUCAAACAAGGAACUAGACGGGCAACUUAUAUGAUCAGAAAGCAUAGACAUAAAAGGAAAAUUCAGAGAAAAUGAGUUAUAGAACAGGAAACUUAAUCUGAAAUUGAGCAUUACGUCUUCACCAGAAGCUUCUGUUGAUAAUUCAGGUUGUGAUCCUGAGAAACUAGAGUUGUAUUGAAGCCCUUUUUUUAGAUGAGGUGGCACCCUAAAAUCCAGUAAACAUGGGCUCUGAAGCGAAUACAUUCAGUUUCUUUCCAGACAACCAGUGGUCUACAGAAUCCUCCUUAUGCAAUCUGUUUCAACCAUUUAGUCUCAAGUGCACCUCCAGACCUCACUCAUAUAGUGGUCACCUUGCCACACAUCAUACUCCUAAUGUUUCUUCUUAUUCUUUUUUGUUAUCUUACACAUUUUAAAUCUGGAUUUCAAAAUCUUUUUCCGUAAAAAAUAACUCUAGUUUUAUUUAAAAUUCCCGAGAAGUUUCUGGGCAUAAAAUCCAAAUUUUAACAUACUAUUUGCUGCCAUUUUCCUUUCCAGCAUGCAUUUUCGUCAUCUUCAACUAUUUUCAUGAUUUUCUCGAUUUUCGACAAGCAUGAACAAACUUCAUGAUUCCAAACAAUGGAAUUCAUAGAAUCAACUCAUGCAAAAUCAAUCAGGACCUUGGUGGGUGGUCCGACAUUCUUGAUAUCUUCUCUGAUAUUGAUUCAAAUGAGGGGAUUGUUCGAUACUUGGCUGAUUUCAAUUGUUCCCUAUGAUAUAUAUGAAAAUUGUUUAUACUUGUUAUUAAGCUAACCUUGUUUUCCAUAGACGCAUUUAGCUUGCUACCCAGGUACGCUCUCUCUCUCUCACACACACACUCAUUUUCUCAAAUUCUAUGAACAUACAUGCUAUUGAAGAUCACUUCCAUGUUUGAUGUAAUCCUUGGGUGUUUAGGUGUAUACUUGAUUUGCUUGGAUAAAGCACAUGUUGUGUGAUAUAUUUCUAUACUAACCUUUGAUGUUUUGUGAUAGCGCUUAAGAAGUGGUUCAGGUACGUACCCUAACUCUCCUUUAUUGUGAUUGAUCUCCUUAUUUAGCAUGCUAUUUUCUGAAAUCACCUAGCUUACUUAGGUAUCUAUAAUUAACCAACUAAUUGUCACACUUCCCUUAACUUAGUUAGUAGAGACCUUUAUAGGACUUAGAAGGGUGUUACCUUUCAAAGGUACCUUCCCAAUAGGUAACUUGAUCCUUGGACUUAGACUCGGGUUUUUUUUAAAGACAUGCUUUUUCCAAAACUAUGGAGUCAUUUUUUUUAGGGUUUUAUUUCUUGUUUUAUUUUCCCUUUAAAAUAAAAAUAAAAUAAUUGGUGACUCCGACUUUUUCAAAAAUUAAUUUUUCAUAAAUAAAAAACGAGUCUCGCUGAUCGAGUGAGAGCGCACGUGAAAAAUGCGGGUCCACAAAUUGGCGACUCCACUGGGGAUCUUGAGGAUCAAGCUUAAACACUAUUUGAGGAAAAUGUGGCGUUUAAUUGGUCGAUUAGAGGGUACCUCAUCAUUUUUAGGCAAGGCGAUUUGGUUAUCUUACUUGAUUGCUUUGCUAUCUUAACAUGUUGGCAUUGAUCCCUCUAUAGUUCAACACCACUUACCUAUCCUACCACAUGCCAGACCGGUUAAGCAGAAAUUAAGACGGUUACAUCCACGUUGGAGUCUGCAGGUGAAAGAGGAGAUUCAGAAACAACUCUGUGUUGGAUUCAUAUCAGUGGUUGAGUAUCCAAAGUGGUUGGCUAAUGUCGUCCCAGUUCCCAAAAAGGAUGGCAAAGUUAGAGUUUGUGUAGACUUUAGAGAUCUUAAUAAAGCUAGCCCUAAAGAUGACUUCCCUUUCCCACAUAUCGAUUUGUUAGUUGAUGGCACUAUAGGCCAUUCGAUGUUGUCUUUCAUGGAUGGGUUUUCAGGGUAUAAUCAGAUUUUGAUGGCUCCAGAGGAUAUGGAGAAGACAACCUUUAUUACUGAGUGGGGUACCUACUGUUACAAGGUUAUGCCAUUUGGGUUGAAGAACGCAGGAGCCACUUAUCAGAGGGCCGCUACUACUUUGUUUCAUGACAUGAUGCAUAGGGACGUUGAAGUUUAUGUGGAUGAUAUGAUUAUGAAAUCCCAAGGCAGAGCAGAUCACCUAGAGGCUCUAGAGAGAUUCUUUGAGAGGAUCCGAAAGUUUAGAUUGAGGCUGAAUCCCAAGAAGUGCACCUUUGGAGUGACUUCUGGGAAGUUAUUGGGACAUAUGGUCAGUAAGCGAGGCAUAGAGGUCGACCCAGAUAAAAUCAAAGUCAUACUUGACAUGCCUGCGUCGAGGACUAAGAAAGAGAUUAGAGGUUUUCUGGGUAGAUUACAGUACAUCAGUCGUUUCAUAGCCAGAUUGACAGACAUAUGUGAGCCCAUAUUUCAUCUUUUAAGGAAGAAUUAACCAACAGUUUGGAAUGAUGAUUGUCAGCUUGCAUUUGAGAAGAUCAAGGGGUACUUGCUUUUUCCUCCUGUUUUAGUGCCUCCUACGCCAAGACGCCCACUUCUUUUAUAUUUGUCAGUUUCAGACAUGGUCUUGGGAUGUAUGUUAGCUCAGAUUGACAACUCAAGGGAAGGAGCAGGCUAUUUACUAUCUGAGUAAAAGGAUGCUGGAGUAUGAAGUGAAAUAUGUUAUGAUCAAGGAGGAAAAUGUCGCAAUAUUUCGGCGAUAUAUCGCCGAAAUAUCGUGUAUCGGACCAUCUCGACACGAUAUAUGUUAGAGAUAUAUCGGUUCCACGAUAUUUUAUCAAUUUAUCGUGAUUUUCACUUAUUUCUCGUGAUUUAUUGGCAUUUUAUCAUUUUAUCUUCAAUAUAUCGCGAUAUUUUGGACGGUCAAAUGAGGAUCAAUGCGGUCAAACUUUUAAAAAUGCCUCAGGACCGUCGCGGGGGCUCGAACCCCAGCCAAAAGGUUUGGUUGGCAGCAAGCCAACUGCUGGGGCAAGUUUGCCCCUUGAUAUAUAAUGUGCACCAAAUAUAUAUAAAGUCAAAUUCAUCAUAUAAACAUAAUUUUAAAAAAAUGUUUUAAAGAACAAAUUAAUUAUAAUUAUUUUAUAAUUAAAUAAAUUUUUUUCAUCUAUUUGAAUACCAAAAAUAUAAAAAUUAUUGUGAUAAUUUUCUUCAUAAUGUUUUUAAUAUUAUUAAUAUAUUAAUUAAGUAUUAAAAAUUAUACACAUAUCAUCAUUUAUUUUAUAUCAUUUAAUACAAUUAAAUUAAAUGAAUUAUAAUUUAAAUAUUAAAUAUAUUUUAAAAUUAGACAUAUUAUAAUCAAAUAUCACAAAUAUUAUUAUGAAUAAUAUUUGAUAUAAUUUAAUAAUAAAUAUAUACUUAUGAAAUUUAUAGUUUUUUUUUAUUAACACAUAUACUAUUAUUGUCAAAUAUGAUAAAUCAUAUUAUACAUAUAUCAAAUUAUUUAAUAAAAUAAUUUAAAAAUAUCAUUAUACUUCUAAUUACAUUUUUAUGAAGUUUUUUUUAUAUUUUUAUAAAUUUUAAUCAAUUUUAUGUUUAUCGAUAUUUUUUUCCAAAAUAUCCGCCGAUAUAUCUCCGAUAUAUCCGUAAAAUCGAAGUACCGAUAUAUCCGUGAUUACCGAUAUUUUCAUUCUUGGUUAUAAUUGAGCGUCUAUGCUUAGCACUAGUUUGGGCUACCAGGAGAUUAAGACAUUACAUGACAGAGUACUCAGUGCAUUUGAUAUCCCGCCUAGAUCCAUUGAGAUACUUAUUUGAUAGACCUGCAUUGACUGGUAGACUAAUGAGAUGACUUGUACUUUUGACAGAGUUUGAUAUCCAGUAUGUUUCUCAGAAGUCUAUUAAGGGAAGUAUUGUCGCCGAUCACCUAGCCUCACUACCGACAUCUGAGAAUAGACCAGUUGAUGAUGAUUUUCCAUAUGAGGAGUUUGUUGCUAUGACCAGCUUAUCAGGAUGGUAUAUAUUAUUAGAGAAACACCCAAAUCAGCUCCAAAUAUAAUGAUAAAGCAACACGUGGAUUGGAAUUUUUCCAACCCCUUUCCAUUAACACGACUGAUAAAGUGACAAGAGGAUCCACAUAGUUUGAGCCUAUGCUUGGUUUCAGAAAGUACCAAAAUUUAAAUAAAUAAAUAAAUAUAUAUAUAUAUAUAUAUACUAAAAAUUAUCUUCUUAUCUAUUAUAUAAAAAAAAUUAAUACAAUUAAAAUUAUUUAAAAAUUAGUUUAUUUUUAAAUUAUUUAGUUUUUAUAUUAAAAAUUAAAAUAAAUUUAAAAUAACAUAUAAAAAUAAUUAUUAAUUUUAAAUUUAUUUUUAUUUUAUUCCUCUUUAUUUUUUAUUCGUGUUUUCUCUCAAAUUUUGAGGGCUCCAAACAUAACCUGAUAAAUAACAAAGAUAUUAUCUCGUGGCUAUUAAGACAAGCAAGUUGCCAACCCGCUUCUUUAAUUACCCAAAUUGGUGAGUGGCCCUGUUUUUGCCCCUUCGUCUGUGGAGACUCACCGAGUCACCGAUGGCAGAGUCAAACCUUCCGAUACUAGCACGACUAGGAGGAGCUCAUCAUGGUCCUUUGGUUUUCUCGUCUUGAUUCUUACUCCCGUUGCAGCGGCCAUCUUUCUCUACCAACUCGACUCCUUUGAUCCAGCUUCUCUGCCCACUCACGAGUUUUCACAGGAACCCAUGCCUGUGCCGAAGCUCAACCCUCGUAUGCUGCAAGGUUCUGAGAUGAUUGGGCAGGGGAAUCUGUUGGGCCCAGAGGACAUUGCCUAUGACGCCAACUCACACCUAAUCUACACAGGCUGUGCUGAUGGCUGGGUCAAGCGAGUCACCUUGAACGAGUCGGCUGCCAACUCGGUCGUCCAUAACUGGGCCUUCACCGGUGGAAGACCUCUCGGCGUCGCUCUCGGUCGAGUUGGCGAAGUUCUCGUCGCCGAUGCCGAAAAGGUCAAAAUGGUUUUCUCUGCCACACUUACUUUUCUCUAGUUUUUUUUGUCUUUUUCCUCCAUUUGAAGGCAAAGAGAUAAGAUAAUUAUCAUUUAAAAACCAAAAAGAAUAAUAAUAAAUUAAUAAGUGGUAUUUUUAUUGAAAAAUAAGUGACAUGAUAUACUCCAAUAAUGGCGGUCCAAACGCUCCCUUAAUUAAUUACUACAAUCAGAGCUGGUGAAAUAGACGAACAUGAGCGCAUGGGUUGCUGUCGAUAUGUGGAUGGUUUAAGACGGCAAGCAACCAUUCCCAUUGGCAACUACUAACUCCAACUCACUCUAUUGACUUUGUCGUCGUCAGGGUUCUUUUCUGAUUUUGACAACAACGCAUUAUGGACGCUAGGAAAAAACAAAAUAAAAAUAGAAAGAACCAUUAUUUUUCUCAAGUUUAUCAUCAGCCGUAUGAUCUAUCGACCUGAAUCAAAAGUUCAAAGAUUUUUCCUAUGCGGCAGGGUCUAUUGGAGAUAAGUGGAGAUGGUGUGAUGAAACUAUUGACCGAUGAGGCUGAAGGCCUAAAAUUCAAACAAACGAACGCUGUAGAUGUAGCUGUUGAUGGUAUGAUUUAUUUUACAGAUGCUUCCUAUAAAUACGGGUUGAUAGAGUUCAUAUGGGAGAUAUUGGAGGUUAGGCCCCAUGGUAGACUACUGAGCUUUGAUCCAUCGACUCAAGAGACUAUAGUGCUUUUACGUGAUCUUUACCUUGCUAAUGGUGUUGUCGUCUCACCUGAUCAGACUUCUGUGGUCUUCUGCGAAACUCUCAUGUAUGUUUCUCACUCACACGUUUUUAAAUUACCAUACUCGAAUUACUCUAUGAUAAUAUAAUCGCAGGAAAAGGUAUACAAAAUAUUAUAUACAAGGCAAGAGAAAGGGGUCCGUGUAAAAGUUCAUUGAUAAUUUGUCUGGCAUGCCUGACAACAUCUUAUAUGAUGGGAAGGUCAUUAUUGGAUUGCAUUGGCCAUGGUAAUUCAAUUUUCUCCUUAGUCUACAUCUCCCAGUAGGUCAUUCCUAUUGUAUGAUAACUUCAAAAUUAUUGGCCCACUUGAUAGGGGACUAAAGGUCUUUGGGACUUGGCACUCAAGUAUCCUUCAAUUCGAAAAGUUAUGGCAAUCUUGGAGAGGUACAUUGGAAGGCCACAUAUCGAGAAAAAUGGUGGGAUUUUGACAGUUGAUUUAGAAGGAAAACCGGUUGCCCACUAUUAUGAUCCUGAAUUGUCAAUGGUGUCAAGUGGGGUCAAGGUUGGCAAGUAUUUAUAUUGUGGUUCCUUUGUCAAACCGUACAUUAUCUGCCUUGAUCUUGAUCAACAUGCUGCCCGUACCAUCACAUAAGCAGGCAAACCUAGUUAUAAUUGCAAGGUGCACUAAUUUUUGCAACAAAGUACAAUGGAUCAUUCAAUACAUGCAACUGCCUAAAAAGCUUUAAUUUAAAUGAAGAUGAGGUGCAGUUGAUGGAAGAUACCAUUUAUGUGUUGGUUACAAGGGGGAAAGAUGACACUGCUUUGCCCACAUAAUCCUUGAGACAACUACCUAUAAAGUUGAAUUGAUUGUGAUCAAUGUAGCGAGUUCAACACAAACAAUAUUAGUCGACUAGUUUAAGAACUAACAUGUGUGUCAAGAAAUAGUUGGUUGCUGCAUAGCUCUUAAUAGAUGAUGCAUUGCAUGAACAUCAGGACUACAAGGUAGGCUCGUAUCGAAACAUGCAUGUGCCAUAAUGAUAAAAUAGAGAUAAAUUGAAGUCACGUUGAUCUCCAAUUCUUUUCAAAGGAAAGGGUGUUCAUUUGAAUAUGACAUCUUUUUGUUGAGUAUUUGGAGAGAUUUUGGGUGAGCCUAUUUAAGCAUCCAUGGUUAGAAAUGAUUUCUAAUAGUAACAUGUUUCAGCUACAACUUCAAUAGUGUUUAAAAGCAACAUGUUUUGAUCGUAAAUUUAGCAACAACUUCAAUAGCAUCUAAAGAAAUAUAGUUUUGAUUUCACACACAUGAACAAUUUCUCAUUGGGUUUACAAGAGAAGAAUAAUAUAGCAAAAUCUUAGUUUGCAAAUUUGGCUCAAAGUUUACACAGAAAUUAGGAUUGAAGGGUGCAUUAGAAGAAAAUAUAAGUUUUUGAACAAGGUGUAUUAAAAAAUGUUCUCAAAGGCUCAAAUGAUUUAUGAGCCAUGGUUUCAACAAUAUUCUUAGCAAUAAUGAAGUAUUGAAGUUUCUUAUAGGAAUUUCAAUUGGAAAAUAGUUGUUAGACAUACUAGUUGGUUGAGCACUCAAUUAGCUAUUGGAGGUAUAAAUUGUUGGAUUAACAAUCAAAUCAUAGGGUGUAUGCUCUAUAGAUCUAUCAACAACAAAAGCAAUAAAAAUUAGAUUUGGGUGUCAUAAAAACCAUGUUAUUAGAUCUAGAUGUUCCUAGAUCCUACUCUAAUUGAUGCAGGGAUCUCAAAAAUCUUGCAAUAUUUCAUUCAAUGGCUCUAUCUUCGAUCUUUAGCAAAUGUGUAGAGUCACUACACACCUUUAGAGGAGAAAGAGAGAGAAGCUAUAUUUCUAGAAGACUAUUAGUUGGAAAAGUUAGAAUCUAACCCUAAAACCUAAGAGGUUUAUAUAGACUCUUAUAUGAGCUUAAGUAACUUUGACUUAACUUGAGCUUAGGUCACGUAAUCUAGUUGACUAGAUCCUAAUUAAUUAAUUAUCAUUAAUGGACUUUAAUUAAUUAAUUAUCUCAAUAAAAAAAGAAAUCUAAAAUAACUAAUCAUAAUUUACUUUAAAACUUCUAUCUUUUACCAAAACAGACUUAUUAACAUAAAUGAUUAAUUAUUCUUAAAUCCUCAAAACUUUGUGUCAACAAAAAACAUGAGUUUGAAUGGAAAUCAUUGGGAUUCAUAGGAAAAUACUAACCCCUCAUAAUCCAAAUUUGAAGUUGACUCAACACUCUACUCAAGAGAGUGAGUUGCACUUCAAUACUCUACGAUAUUAUAUCAAGAUAAAAAUUCAUUAAAUCAAGUUUAAUUAAUUUCUUAGGUCUAUGACCUACUAUUUAAUGUAUGCACACUCUCCAUGAAUUGAUGUUCAUAAUAUAAUGAGAUAAAAACUAUCAACUUUUCAAGAGUGCCUCUACCAUUUUUGAGUCUCAAAUCCUCCUAUUUUGUAAUCAAUUGACUUACUCUAGUUUACAUAUGACAUAUGUCAAAUCCCACAUAAAGAAUUAUUACAAUGACACAAAUGUUAUGAUCACAAGUCCUUAGGAUCACCUAAGGGCACACAUUAUCUCAAUCUAAUAAGAUAUCACAGUGCCUCCAUUGAAAAUACUUGUUACCAUCUACCCUAAUCAACAAUAACCCAAUUGUAGGGAAUAUAUGACUACUUUAGGGUAUCACCCAUAGAUUAAAGCCACAAAAACCUUUGGCAUUAGUUUAGUAUUAUUUCAAGAUUAAGAGACCAUGCAACAUAAUAACUUGAUGAAGUCAUAACUAUCUGAUAUCCAAUGUAAUUUUUUAUUAUAUAUCAUGUCCAAUGUGUAACCAUGCGCACUAAUGCACUCACAAUGGGAAAUCUCUCCUAAUGACUAAGACAAAUUAUCCUUCCAAUUAUGAGGUAAUAUACUAUAACUUCAAAUAGAUUGCCUAUUUUCAAAAACCGAUUGUGAAAAACUUUUCAUCUUGUAAGAAAUCCAAUACUUUGAUCUUAUAUACAACUCCUAAUAUACUACCUAAAUUAUGUACAAUGCAAGUGAUGUCAUACUGAAUGCAUAGAUAAAUAUUAAUGAAAACAUGGGUAGGAUAGUGGAUACUAAAAUAAUAAUAUAUAAACAUAUUAGUUAAAUCUCAUUUUGUUCCAUAAUUAGCUUCCAAUGGGUCUUCAACAAUUUCCCUCAAGUGAUCUCAUACACUUGAACACUUUAUCACAAGGUUUACAAGAGAAAAAUAAUAUAACACAAUCUUAGUUUGCAAAUUUAGCUCAAAGAUUAAAAGAAAAAAAAAUAAGGAUUGAAGGGUAUACAAGUAGAAAAUACAAGUUUUUAAAUAAGGUGCACUAAAAAAUGCCCUUAAAUUGGAUUUUUGAUCAUUAAUUUCCAAUAUUGGAACUCUUAGUUAUAAAUGAAGUAUUGGACUCUUUUAUAAGAGUAUCAAUGUGAAAAUAUUUAGUAAGCAUAUUUUGUAUUGUAUUAAUCAACCAAACUUUCAACCACUCUACUAAUUUGUUAAAGGUGCAAAGUGCAAUACAUGGUUGGAAAAUAAUUAGCUUUGAUAAGUUGAACUACCAAUCAACCGGUGCUUAAAGGGUUGAGGUUUUUCCUCGACUAGCCAAAAGCCAUUGUAAACAUCUCCUCUAUGGUUUGGUGAUUUUAUGAAAUAUAUAUAUAUAUAUAUAUAUAUAUAUAUAUAUAUAUAUAUAUAUAUAUAUAUAUAUAUAUAUAUNNNNNNNNNNNNNNNNNNNNNNNNNNNNNNNNNNNNNNNNNNNNNNNNNNNNNNNNNNNNNNNNNNNNNNNNNNNNNNNNNNNNNNNNNNNNNNNNNNNNUAUAUAUAUAUAUAUAUAUAUAUAUAUAUAUAUAUAUAUAUAUAUAUAUAUAUAUAUAUAUAUAUAUAUAUAUAUAUAUAUAUGAUAGUAAGGGAUAAAACAAGGGAAAAUACUUGGCUAUAUAUAUAUAUAUAUAUAUAUAUAUAUAUAUAUAUAUAUAUAUAUAUAUAUAUAUAUAUAUAUGAUAGUAAGGGAUAAAACAAGGGAAAAUACUUGGCUAAAUAACUCUAUACAAUUUUGAAAACCUUAAGAGGAUAAAUAUGUUGAUUUUAACAUAUGUUCCCUUUUGAAGCAUUUCUUCAUCGAAAAUUUUAAAAUAGAAAAAUAAUUUUUGUUAAUUUAGAUGAGCUAUGAUGCUUUAAAAUGACAAAAUGAAUUCUUAUCUUGAUGCACCCCAAUCUUACAUAAAGAUAACCUAAGUUUGGUUCUCAUCAUUGACGAAAACCCUAUGGUAAGCACUUGCUUCCUUAGCUCUUGAAGGAUUAAAAAUGUAUAGAAAUUAAAUUCAAGUGACUUAAAAACAAAAUUAGAUCAAAUUCCUUUAUUUUGUAAUCAUAAAAAUUAAUCUUGAGAAAAACCUUAGACUAAUAAUAUCCUAUUCAGGACCAUUGAUUUCCAUUGAUUUUGAGAUUUUUGAAACUUAAGAUCCAUAAAGAGAGAUGUUGACACCACUAAUCAAGUUGCAAUACAAUUCAUGGUCAACUUAGCAAAGAAAUCAUGAAACAAGUCAGAGAAAUCAAUGUGGUUAAUUUGGAGGUAGAUGGCAUGGUUAGCUAGUAAAUUUUAUUAAAUAGCUCAACUACCCUAUAAAGCCAUUUUUGUCCCCUAGUGUUGUAAUUUCAAUUAUUUAUCCUGUACCCACCACUCACUCAUAUUUAUUUGGUUCACUGGGGGAGAAGUAUCAGCCUUAUAUAUUCAAUAACUCUUUUUCCUGCAAUGAAUUUUCAUAAUUGUCAAGAACACCCUCCCAAUCGAUCCAUAUACUCAAAGUUAUAUAAGGUGCAAGGUCUCAAUCACAACCCAUUUGGUUAAUGAAGAGGCUGCCAGCUGGUUUUCAGAUGCCAUUAAAAUUCUUAGAGAAAAGAAAGAUGGAAGGAGCCUUUUGUAGUACCGACACUGUCACAUAAUGAAUGGAAGAAGUGGUCAACCACUUAAUGCCACUGAGAUCCACAUUUCCAUAUACCUUUAAUGUAUCUUCGUCAUCCAUUAAUUUUACAAUAAAUUUUGAAAUUUAAUGGUAAAUUCAGUGUUGUUUAAUAUGGACUCAAUUAACAGCCAAUUCCUUGUCGAAUAGAUGUAGAGUUUAGUUACUUUUAUUUAGGGUUUGAUCAAACUCAACCUAACUUGAUUUUAUGAUCUGCUCAAGUCCCUUGUUUGAACAUAUUUAUUCAUAACUUAAUUGUAACCCAAUUUCAAUUUGACUUUAAAAAAGAAAAAUGAGUUUGGUUUAGGUUAAGUUUGGACAAAUAAGUUUCAUGCGGGAAUUAAGUUUAGGUAAAUAAUCAAUUAGAUUCAACUUGUCUAAGUGGAAACUUCAAUGAACUAACAAUCAAUUAGAUUCAACCCGUUUAGAAAACAAGUUUAUCCUUGUUCUUGCGUGCAUGGGUUCAUAAAUGUGUCCUCACAAGUACAAACAUAGCUCUCUCAUGUUUUUGAGGACAUAGUGAAGAAUCUUUUUCUGUUAAAACAAUUACCAGUUAACAAAUGACACGUAUACCAAUCGUACCAACUAUAAAAAGGGAAAAAAAAAAAAAAAAAACUGUUAUCAACCAUAACACUAAAGGACCAAUGAUUGUGUUCAAAUUAUUGGUUUGAACUUUCUCAUGUUUUUGAGGACACGGUGAAGAAUCUUUUUCUGUUAAAACAAUUACCAGUUAACAAAUGACACGUAUACCAAUCGUACCAACUAUAAAAAGGGAAAAAAAAAGAAAAAAAGAAACCGUUAUCAACCAUAACACUAAAAUACCAAUGAUUGUGUUCAAAUUAUUGGUUUGAAUUAUGAUAAGUAUUAUUAUGGUAGAACUAAAUGCUAAUUCAAAGUAACUCUAAUUUAGUUGGAAAUAAGGCUCAUCUUUUUUUCAAUAAAUUUUCUUCUUUUUAUUUUAUUUUUUAUAUGAAGAUCACUCAUACAAUGCAUUAGGCCAGGGCACCAUUUAUCAAUUAGGCGUCCAAAUUGGUAAAUAAAUUUAGAAGAAACCACAAAUGCAUUUUAGUUGGAUCCAUUCAUUAUAUAAAUAAGUAGAGGUUGUGGUAGUCAAAAGAAAUGCAACUCUGUUUGGUUAAGAAGAAUGAUUUUCUGAUAAAAUAUAUAUAUAUAUAUAUAUAUAUAUAUAUAUAUAUAUAUAAUUUAAAUUAGCUAAAAAAACAUAUAUUUUUAAAUAAUUGAAUUUUAAUAUAAAAAUGUUAAAAAAGUUACAUAAAUUUGAAGGAUGUAUAAAUAUGAUUUAUCAACUUUAAAUUUACUUUCUCCUAUCAAUUUUUCUUCUCUUUUUUCUUUUCUUCAUCCUUAGUCUCAAAAUUUUGAAUAAUCAAACAUAGUUAUGAGUCGUGUAAUUAAGGAAAUUAACUCAUUAGACUCAAAUUUUGCUCGCAACACCAAUGAGUAGCAUGGAAAUCAAAAAGCAAGAGAACCCUAAGCAGCAAACAAAAUAGGGUGUGAGAAUAAUGUGUGUGAGUUUUAAUUUCGGUGGUAAUAUGAAGUAAUGUUGAUUGAUAUCCAUAAGUUAUUUUUUGUUAAAUAAAAAAAAUCAAAUUUUUUAUUUUUCUUUUCAACCAAAAAGCAAACACCACAUAAGAAAAGAAAUAUUUUGUAUAUGUACAAAGCUCACAUCCUCUUUAAUUUGUACGGUGAAUUUAAAAUUAAUUUUUUAAAAUAUAAAAUAUUAAAAAAUAUUUCCAAAUUUACGACACGUUUUGCUACAUUAAGAUAUACCUACAAUUUUAAUAUCAAUGAUAUAUACUAAAAGUAUCUUUUGAAGAUAUUUCACAAAAUUAAAUUUAUAUUAAAUAUGUUUUUUCAAAAUACACAUUUUUAUAAUUUUUUAAUUAAGUCAUAUACCUUAAAAAUAUUAAAUUUAUACUAAAAAUGUUCCUUCAAGAUACACUUUUUCAAAAUUCCACAGAAUUUAUACUAAAGAAUAAACACCUUUCAUAAUUUUCAUAUUAGUUAUUCAUCGAGAAAAAUUGAAUUUAUAUUAAAUAUAUAUUUUAAAGAAACAUCUUCCAUAAUUUUCAUAUUAAUGAUCCAUCGAAAAAAUUAAAUUUAUGUUAAAAUUAUUUCUUCAUAAUUUCAUAAAAUUGAAUUUAUACUUUCUCUUAAAUAAUUAUGGUAAUUUAUACUAAAAUUAUUUCUUUAUAAUUUCAUAAAAUUGAAUUGAAUUUUUUUUUUAAAGAACUAUGACUAAUAUAAAAAUGAUGAGAAUUAUUUUUUAAAAGAUAUUUUUAGUAUAAAUUUAAUUUAAUUUUUUUUUAUCGUAUAUCAUCUAUAUAAAAAUUGAUGAAAAAUGUCAAUUCGAGGGCAAAAAAAUAUUGGACUUAUCAAUAAUUUCGUAACUACUAUUUUUUAAGAAAUGUUUUUCAAAUUAGUUGUUAGAAGUUAAAAAAAGUCCCCCGAUGUGACGGUAAAGGAUCGAGAUCUGGCCCAAGCAAUAAUAAUAAUACUAAAAUGGAAACAAACAAAACAUAUCAAAAAUCAAACCCACUAGGUGGAAGGAUAUUAUUAUUUAGGCGGUGGAUGAGACACGCAACAUCCGGGACGCAUAGAUUUGAAUGGAUAUAAAAGGAAGAUCUAUCUCCUCGUAGUUUUAAAUCAGAUUGGGUUAUUUUCUCCUCCGUGGCAGUAAGACAUAAAGACAGGCAAGCUGGCCGAGCCUAUUUAAUACUCGAAUCUGUGAGUAGUCCCGUUGUCUAUCUCUUCUUCUUCCUUCUUCUGUGGAGAGUAACCGAGUGAGUGCGGCACCAAUGGCUAAGUCAAAGCCUUCAGAUCCUAACACCACUAGGAAGAGCUCAUCAUGGUCUUUGGCUCUUCUUAUCUCCAUUCUUACUCCCGUUGCAGCGGCCAUCUUUCUCUACCAACUCGACUCCUUUGAUCCCGCUUCUCUGCCCACUCACGUGUUUUCACAGGAACCCAUGUCUGUCCCCAGGAUCAACUCUCGUCUGCUGCAUGAAUCUGAGAUGAUCGGGCUUGGGAAGCUGUUGGGUCCAGAGGACAUAGCCUAUGAUACCAACUCACACCUAAUCUACACAGGCUGUGCUGAUGGCUGGAUUAAGAAAGUCACCUUGAACGACUCGGCUGUCAACUCGGUCGUUCAUGACUGGGCCUUCACCGGUGGAAGACCUCUCGGCGUCGUUCUCGGUCGCGCCGGUGAGGUUCUCGUUGCCGACGCCGAC